rnacentral:rRNA from 1 species
GUGACCUCAAAUCAGGUAGGACUACCCGCUGAACUUAAGCAUAUCAAUAAGCGGAGGAAAAGAAACUAACAAGGAUUCCCCUAGUAACUGCGAGUGAAGCGGGAAAAGCUCAAAUUUAAAAUCUGGCGGUCUUUUGGCUGUCCGAGUUGUAAUCUAGAGAAGUGUUAUCCGCGCUGGACCGUGUACAAGUCUCCUGGAAUGGAGCAUCAUAGAGGGUGAGAAUCCCGUCUUUGACAUGGACUGCCAGGGCUUUGUGAUGCGCUCUCAAAGAGUCGAGUUGUUUGGGAAUGCAGCUCAAAAUGGGUGGUAAAUUCCAUCUAAAGCUAAAUAUUGGCGAGAGACCGAUAGCGAACAAGUACCGUGAGGGAAAGAUGAAAAGAACUUUGGAAAGAGAGUUAAACAGUACGUGAAAUUGCUGAAAGGGAAACGCUUGAAGUCAGUCGCGUUGUCCAGAGAUCAACCUUGCUUUUGCUUGGUGCACUUUCUGGUUCAACGGGUCAGCAUCAAUUUUGACUAUUGGAAAAAGGUUGAGGGAAUGUGGCAUCUUUGGAUGUGUUAUAGCCCUUGGUUGUAUACAAUGGUUGGGAUUGAGGAACUCAGCACGCCGCAAGGCCGGGUUUAACC